GCAGGAAUCGGAUUAUAAGUGCACGUAGGCAGCAAAAGCAGCAGUCCAUCGACAGUUGUAUAUCCGCUAGUGGUCCUCAGAGUGCUGACCAGAAGCACAGUGGAACAGUUCUUACAUGGAGUGAAGACGGAAGGGCACGCUGCAGUGAUUGGCUUCCCUGCACGACGCAUUCCAGAGGACGCAAGAAAGUGAUAAGGGAACAUCAAGCCGAAUCUUUAAGGGUCAAGGUGCAAUGCGGCUGCAGGGACAUCUGGAGUAGCACCUUUCUCAAAGGCAUGUGCUGGACGUGUAAGGCCAUCCACCAUCGUACACCGAGUGCACCCGGCGCGAUCGAAGGUUCAGAAGCUGCAACGAUAGCAAAGAUUUCAUGCUUAGACGUCGCGCCGACACAUAAGAUACAUACAGGAACAUGGGACAGCUGAAUUACCAAACAUCAUGGGAGCAUAUGGCCACGUAGGUAAUUUU
rnacentral:lncRNA from 1 species